AGUAGAGGAUAGCCCGGCGAAAGUCGGAUUAAUACUCUAUGUUGUUCAAUGCGGACAUCUAAGUUGAACCAAAGGUUUACCGCUAUAGGAUGGGGAUGGCGUCUGAUUAGAUCGGUAGGCGGGGUAACGGCCCACCUAGUCGACGAUCAGUAGGGGUUCUGAGAGGAAGGUCCCCCACAUUGGAACUGAGACACGGUCCAAACUCCUACGGGAGGCAGCAGUGAGGAAUAUUGGUCAAUGGGCGAGAGCCUGAACCAGCCAAGUAGCGUGCAGGAAUGACGGCCCUAUGGGUUGUAAACUGCUUUUAUAUUAGGGAGUAAAGUGCACUACGUGUAGUGUUUUGUAGGUACUAUAUGAAUAAGGACCGGCCUAAUUCCGUGCCAGCAGCUGC
rnacentral:rRNA from 1 species